AUGUUACUCCCUCUGGUCCAUAUUACUUGUCUUAGAUUUGUCUAGAUCCAUAUCUAGACAAAUAUAAGACAAGUAAUAUGGACCAGAGGGAGUAGUAA
rnacentral:pre_miRNA from 1 species